AGAGUUUGAUCCUGGCUCAGGACGAACGCUGGCGGCGUGCCUAAUACAUGCAAGUCGAGCGAACAGAAGGGAGCUUGCUCCCGGAUGUUAGCGGCGGACGGGUGAGUAACACGUGGGUAACCUGCCUGUAAGACUGGGAUAACUCCGGGAAACCGGAGCUAAUACCGGAUAGUUCCUUGAACCGCAUGGUUCAAGGAUGAAAGACGGUUUCGGCUGUCACUUACAGAUGGACCCGCGGCGCAUUAGCUAGUUGGUGGGGUAAUGGCUCACCAAGGCGACGAUGCGUAGCCGACCUGAGAGGGUGAUCGGCCACACUGGGACUGAGACACGGCCCAGACUCCUACGGGAGGCAGCAGUAGGGAAUCUUCCGCAAUGGACGAAAGUCUGACGGAGCAACGCCGCGUGAGUGAUGAAGGCUUUCGGGUCGUAAAACUCUGUUGUUAGGGAAGAACAAGUACGAGAGUAACUGCUCGUACCUUGACGGUACCUAACCAGAAAGCCACGGCUAACUACGUGCCAGCAGCCGCGGUAAU
rnacentral:rRNA from 1 species